rnacentral:rRNA from 1 species
AACGAACGCUGGCGGCAGGCCUAAUACAUGCAAGUCGAACGCUCCAGCAAUGGAGAGUGGCAGACGGGUGAGUAACGCGUGGGAACCUUCCCAGUGGUACGGAAUAGCUCAGGGAAACUUGAGGUAAUACCGUAUACGCCCCUCGGGGGAAAGAUUUAUCGCCAUUGGAUGGGCCCGCGUCGGAUUAGCUAGUUGGUGGGGUAAUGGCCCACCAAGGCGACGAUCCGUAGCUGGUCUGAGAGGAUGAUCAGCCACACUGGGACUGAGACACGGCCCAGACUCCUACGGGAGGCAGCAGUAGGGAAUAUUGGACAAUGGGCGAAAGCCUGAUCCAGCCAUGCCGCGUGAGUGACGAAGGCCUUCGGGUUGUAAAGCUCUUUUGGCGGGGACGAUAAUGACGGUACCCGCAGAAUAAGCUCCGGCUAACUUCGUGCCAGCCGCCGCCGUAAUAC